rnacentral:rRNA from 1 species
CCUACGGGUGGCAGCAGUGGGGAAUAUUGCACAAUGGGGGAAACCCUGAUGCAGCAACGCCGCGUGAAGGAAGACGGUUUUCGGAUUGUAAACUUCUGUUCUUAGUGAAGAAGAAUGACGGAAGCGAAGGAGCAAGCCACGGCUAACUACGUGCCAGCAGCCGCGGUAAUACGUAGGUGGCAAGCGUGGUCCGGAAUUACUGGGGGGAAAGGGAGCGCAGGAGGGAAGCAAAGUCAGCUGUGAAAACUACGGGCUUAACUUGUAGACUUCAGUUGAAACGGGUUUUCUUGAGGGAAGUAGAGGUUGGCGGAAUUCCGAGUGUCGCGGUGACCUGCGUCGAUAUUCGGAG